rnacentral:rRNA from 1 species
UACAGAGACUGCAAGCGUUAUUCGGAUUCACUGGGCGUAAAGGGUGCGCAGGCGGUUGGGUGUGUCAGAUGUGAAAUCCCGAGGCCCAACCCUCGGAACUGCGUCUGAAACUACUCGACUAGAGUACUGGAGAGGGUAACGGAAUUCACGGUGUAGCAGUGAAAUGCGUAGAUAUCGUGAGGAACACCAGAGGCGAAGGCGGUUACCUGGACAGUUACUGACGCUCAGGCACGAAAGCAUGGGGAGCAAAAGGG